GGAGAGCAAAAGAGAAGUGCAAGAAAAUUGUGUAGAGUGAAAACACGAGAGAUAGUGAGCAAAACACAAAGUGAGAAGCAGUUAGGCUUUCGUUUGUGUAGAAAAUUAACGAGAGAAAAUUGAGAGAUUGUCUUUGCGUAGGCAAAUAAAAUACAGAGAGUGUAUUUGUUGUAUUCCUUUUAUUCUCUUGUUGAUAUAGUAAAAGAAUUGGUGUGGGUUUGUGGACGUAGGCACGAUUGUCGAACCACGUAAAUUCUUGUGUCACUUGCACUUAUUAUUGCUACAUUUAUUUCUUCUCAGUUCAAAUUAUUUUGCGUCCCACUGAUCCUGACGGAAUUAGUAGCGGUCUAAUUUCCUAACAAAAACGAGCCACCGCGAUAGGGCUCAAUUCGUCGCCACAGCUGCAACCACAAGCGGUAGGAUUCACGAAUACAACAAAUGUUACAAGACUUUUUCCACUGGCCAGGCUUUGGGUGGCCACAUGCGGCGGCACUAUGAAGGCGUCAUCAGCAACGGCAAGAAAACCAAUGUGAUCCCACCCGACGGCGGCGCCUCCAGCCACUGCAACAGCAAUUGGCACGUGGUUCACGACUUCGACUUGAACCUCCCCGCCUUAGCAGAAGAUGAAAGUCCUAAUCCUUGAGGAAACAGCGUUUGGAUGAAUGUUUUCUGGUGUUGUUCACUUUUUUUUUUUUUUUUUUUUUUUUUUUGGCCUAGAGAAAUAUUCUUGUUGUUCUUGUUGGUGGUGGUGCAAGAAAUAGUUAUAACUCUUCAGAUCGAU
rnacentral:lncRNA from 1 species